CAAGCAGAUCAGGUGACCGCCCCGCUUCGGCGGGGAGGAAAGUCCGAACUCCAACGGGCGGGGCGCUGGGUAACACCCAGGGGGGACGACCCCCGGAAAGUGCCACAGAAACAUACCGCCGCAGGAGGACAGCCGGCAAGAUCUGAAAUGGUCUCUAUGGUGAAAGCCGCUGACCGUUUGGUGUAGCGGCUUUCGGGUUCUCUGCGGUAAGGGCGAAAUGGUGAGGUAAGAGCUCACCGGCAACUGGGUGACCAGUUGGCUGGGCAAACCCCGCUUGGAGCAAGACCAAAUAGGAGGACGCUAAAGACGCGCCCGUUCUGUCCUCGGGUAGGUCGCUUGAGAUGGCGGGAGACCGUCAUCCUAGAUUGAUGGUCACCACCUGGGCAGGGGUCGGAUAGGGGUUUGGAAGUCGGCUCCUUCGUGGCCGCGAAGGAGUUGUGGUUGUGAGGUUGUGGACCGCCGCGUGCGGAUGUGGGGGAUGACAACCAGCCCCUAUCCCACCCCUACCCAGGCUACAGAAUUCGGCUUAUCGAUCUGCUUGGGCU
rnacentral:RNase_P_RNA from 1 species